rnacentral:misc_RNA from 1 species
GAAAUGCGAUAAGUAAUGUGAAUUGCAGAAUUCAGUGAAUCAUCGAAUCUUUGAACGCACAUUGCGCCCGCCAGUAUUCUGGCGGGCAUGCCUGUUCGAGCGUCAUUUCAACCAUCAAGUCCCCGGCUUGUGUUGGGGACCUGCGGCUGCCCGCAGGCCCUGAAAAACAGUGGCGGGCUCGCUGUCACACCGAGCGUAGUAGCAUACAUUCUCGCUCAGGGCGUGCUGCGGGUUCCGGCCGUUAAACGACCUUCAUAACCCAAGGUUGACCUCGGAUCAGGUAGGAAGACCCGCUGAACUUAAGC